rnacentral:rRNA from 1 species
UACGGAGGGGGCUAGCGUUGUUCGGAAUUACUGGGCGUAAAGCGCACGUAGGCGGCCUUUCAAGUCAGAUGUGAAAGCCCCGGGCUUAACCCGGGAAUUGCAUUUGAUACUGUUAGGCUUGAGACCGGGAGAGGAUAGCGGAAUUCCCAGUGUAGAGGUGAAAUUCGUAGAUAUUGGGAAGAACACCAGUGGCGAAGGCGGCUAUCUGGACCGGUACUGACGCUGAGGUGCGAAAGCGUGGGGAGCAAACAGG